rnacentral:rRNA from 1 species
AGCCCUAAGUGGGUGGUAAACUCCAUCUAAGGCUAAAUAUGACCACGAGACCGAUAGCGAACAAGUACCGUGAGGGAAAGUUGAAAAGCACUUUGAAGAGAGAGUUCAAGAGUACGUGAAACCGUUUAGGGGUAAACCUGAGAAACCCGAAAGGUCGAAGGAAGAAAUUCAUUCGCGUUUCGUCGCAGGCGGCGAGCGGGAUUGCGUGACGGGAAGCGUUCGCGCAUUUCCGCACCUCCCGUUCCUCGAACCGGCGACGAACGCGUGCACUUUUCUUCUGGUAGGACGUCGCGAUCCGUUGGGUGUCGGUCUACGGCUCGUGGUGGAGCCCGUUCGUCGUAUUUUUCGUACGUACGGACGGACCCGCGUGUCCCGGCUGACUCGCCCGACGGUAUACGAAAGGUUUGAGGCCGCUCUCGGAGCGUUCGGCUCGUGGCAAGCGCGCCAGAUGUGUCGGCGAUCGGACCUAGUGCCGAUUCUGACCUCUGGUGACUGUUGGCCGCGAAGUUCUCGAACAGACCUCACAACCGAUCAGCGACGCUAUAGCUUUGGGUACUUUCAG